AGUCAAUAGAUACCCGGGUAGUCCACGCCCUAAACGAUGCCAACUAGGUGUUGGGGAAGGAGACUUCCUUAGUACCGUAGCUAAACGCGUGAAAGUUGGCCGCCUGGGGAGUACGGUCGCAAGAUUAAAACUCAAAGGAAUUGACGGGGACCCGCACAAGCGGUGGAUGAUGUGGAUUAAUUCGAUGCAACGCGAAAAACCUUACCUACCCUUGACAUGCCAGGAAUCCUGCUGAGAGGUGGGAGUGCCCGAAAGGGAGCCUGGACACAGGUGCUGCAUGGCUGUCGUCAGCUCGUGUCGUGAGAUGUUGGGUUAAGUCCCGCAACGAGCGCAACCCUUGUCAUUAGUUGCCAUCAUUCAGUUGGGCACUCUAAUGAGACUGCCGGUGACAAACCGGAGGAAGGUGGGGAUGACGUCAAGUCCUCAUGGCCCUUAUGGGUAGGGCUUCACACGUCAUACAAUGGUCGGUACAGAGGGUUGCCAAGCCGCGAGGUGGAGCCAAUCCCAGAAAGCCGAUCGUAGUCCGGAUCGGAGUCUGC
rnacentral:rRNA from 1 species